rnacentral:lncRNA from 1 species
CGCUAACUUGUCGACUUCAGCGAGAGAGAGGCCCUCACAUGUCCACUCACGCCGGGAAGAUGGACGAACAAGAAACAUAUUGUGGAGGCUCUGAAUCCCGAAUUGAAUCGAGCAUCAGUGAACCAGAUAAUCGUAAGGCCGAAGCUACACAAAGAUGAAGCUGUAAACCAGAUUCUGGAGGAUGGAACUUCUGAAAGAUGAGCAUCUAUAGACAAGGAUUUUUUGGACACACCUUGCUGAGAACAUUGAUAUAAUGCUGUAUCCCACGAACCUGUGGCUUGGGGUCCAUUGCUGUCAAGUCUUUCUUCAGACUUUUUGAUUCCAGACAAGAGCUAUGUCUUGCAGUUACUAAAGGAGUUACCUAUGUGGAGUGUAAGGAAUCAAUAUUCAUGGAACAAGUCAUUGAUGUCCAUGAUGGCACCUUCAAGAUUGCAAGAUGACCCUCCCAGAACUGGGAGAAUUGUUCAAAUGUUUGAUUAUUGCUGACCAACAAAGGAUAUAGUAGACGUUGAGGUGACCAAGACUGCUAAAGAUCUUGAUUCUUCAAGGAUGCAAGAAUACCUUCCUGUAUGAAACAGCUGAGGGAAUAGAACAUUAAAAGUACUGAAAACUAUACAGGACCACUAACUGUACAUUAAAGGCUGUGGUUGACAUGUAUUGAGGCAAGUAGAUGAAUAGAGAUGGUGCCAAGGACCAUAUUGUGAACAAAGGUUGUAGAUGACCUGCCUGAGGGAGAAAUAUAAGAAUGCACUACAGAAUUUGCCAAGACUCCACUCCUUUUAGUUGGAAGACAUGAGGAUAUGGCCAAUGCCGCGAAUGAGCAGCGAAGACGAGAAGACCCCAUUCAUCCCUGUCUACACUAGCCAAACAAGAUGCUUGAGGUCCAUACUAAUGUGGAUUUUAUGGAAGUGGAGAACCUUUUAAGGAAGAGAAACCAUUAAGGAAAACUGGAUGGUUGGCAAAAUUAGAUGGACCUCCGUGAUUCUGUGAGUCGAGUGGGACUAUUUUAACAUCAGCAAGAUGACCUAGUUUGUAGUUCUGAAACCAAGGGAUACUAAAUUAGGUCCCGAAGAGUUGGGAAUGAGAGAGGGCCUCUACAUGGAGAACUGCGUCUGAAGAUUUGGCCGACCUGUAUUCAUGAGCUUUCCUGUGAAGACCGGUGCAAAACCCAAUUAUAAGAGUCAUACUUUAUCAAUAAAUCUAUCAAUAAAUGAAGAUUUAUA